AUGGAAACGCUACUCAAGGGAUGGGAGGGCAAUAUGCAAAGGUCUGGACAACAGCUCUGGAGUCAAUUGCCUUUCUCUGCUUGCCCAGAGCCGGCGGGGCAGCCCUCCCCAGCAUCUGUCAGCCCAGCACCCUCCCAACGCUGGUGUCAGUGAUGUGGGGAAGAGUGUGGGCUGAGCAGAGCAGCUGGGCCAAAGGAAAUGGAUGUGCAGCCAGAAUGGGUGGCACCUGAAAUAAAGAUGGACAGACGUGCACUGGGACGGCCCAGAGACAAGCUGAA